UUCCUGACUUUCCCAUCGUUCGGGGCAUUCUGGGGCUGUUUUGGCUAUUGGUUGCUUGUUUGGUCUUGAGCUGAAUGGGUGGCUUCUAGUCUGGUGGCUUCGGGGAUGUUGACCGUAAAGGUGGAUGAGUGGUGUUUGGUUUGUUACGUGUGGUUGGCUGCGGCGUUUGCAACAACUUCCAUGCUNUCAGACCUCUUCAGUUGUGCGGCAAGGCUUGUAUCGCCUUGAGCGUAUUGUGGGUUUUCUGUGUUGGCUACCUAAUCAACGGUAUCGUUUGGAUUGAUCAAAGUUUGAUUUCGUCUUCCGUCGCGUUUGCGGCGUGAGGUGAACCUUGAUGCGGUCUCUUUGAUCCAUCUCGUCGAAGCACAUGCUUUGACGUUGUGGCACAUUGAGCAUUGCUUGGUGUCUUGUAUACGGAACACGUAGUGGGCAUGGAUCUAACGAUUCUUGUUUGCCCUCAUAUUAGCGUAACGCUUCUCUAACACGACUUGCACCACGUUUUAG
rnacentral:misc_RNA from 1 species